AGUGAAACUGCGAACGGCUCAUUAAAACAGUUAUAGUUUACUUGAUAAUUGAAUUCUACAAGGAUAACCGUAGUAAUUCUAGAGCUAAUACUUGCUAUCAAACCUGACUUCACGGAAAGGUUGUAUUUAUUAGAUACCAAACCAAUAGUUCGCGAGAAUUGUUGUGAUGAUUCAUAAUAACUGAUCGGAGCAUGACUAGUCAUGCUAAAUCAUUCAAGUUUCUGCCCUAUCACCUAGAUGGUAGUGUAUUUGACUACCAUGGGAAUAACGGGUACGCGGAAUUAGGGUUUGAUUUGCGGAGAGGGAGCCUGAGAAACGGCUACCACUUCUAAGGAAGGCAGCAGGCGCGCAAAUUACCCAAUCCCAAUUCGGGGAGGUAGUGACAAGAAAUAAUGACUCGGGGUCUCACGACUUACGGGAUCAAAAUGAGAACAAUUUAAAAAACUUAACGAGGAACAAUUGGAGGGCAAGUUCUGGUGCCAGCAGCCGCGGUAAUUCCAGCUCCAAUAGCGUAUAUUAAAGUUGUUGCAGUUAAAAAGCUCGUAGUCGAUAUUCUAAGUACUCUCCUGUGGGUCUAACUCAUUCGAGAAUACUUAUCAGCUCGAAAACUUUAUCGGCCUUCACUGGUUCGAUAUUGCAGAUCGGGCAUUUUACUGAGAAAAAAUUAGAGUGUUCAAAGCAGGCUAUUGUCUUGAAUACACAAGCUUGGAAUAAUAGAAUAAGACUAAUAUCUUUUUUGUUGGUUAUAAGAUUUAGUAAUGGUUAAUAGAAACAGUUGGGGGCAUUAGUAUUUAAUUGUCAGAGGUGAAAUUCUUGGAUUUAUUAAAGACUAACUUAUGCGAAAGCAUUUGCCAAGGAUGUUUUCAAUUGAUCAAGAACGAAAGUUAGGGGAUCAAAGACGAUCAGAUACCGUCCUAGUCUUAACUAUAAACGAUUCCGACUAUGGAUCGGAGGAGUCAAUCUAGCUCCUUCGGCACAUUAUGAGAAAUCAUAAGUCUUUGGGUUCCGGGGGAAGUAUGGACGCAAGUCUGAAACUUAAAGGAAUUGACGGAAGGGCACACCAGGAGAGGAACUUGCGGCUUAAUUUGACUCAACACGGGGAAACUUACCAGGUCAAGACAUGGGUAGGAUUGACAGAAAUGAGAGCUCUUUCUUGAUUCUAUGGGUGGUGGUGCAUGGCCGUUCUUAGUUGGUGGAGUGAUUUGUCUGGUUAAUUCCGUUAACGAACGAGACCUUAACCUGCUAAAUAGGAGUUCGAUGUUCAAUCGAAUGUCCUUCUUAGAGGGACUAUGUGUGCAAACGCAUGGAAGUUUGAGGCAAUAACAGGUCUGUGAUGCCCCUAGAUGUCCUGGGCCGCACGCGCGUUACAAUGACACGGUCAGCAAGUAUUUCCUGCCUCGAUAGAGGUUCGGGUAACCUUAUUAGUCCGUGUCGUAGUGGGAACUGUCCUUUGCAAUUAUAGGACACGAACUAGGAUUUCCUAGUAUAGGUGCGUCAUCACCGCACCUAGAUUAAGUCCCUGCCCUUUGUACACACCGCCCGUCGCUCCUACCGAUUGAGUGAUUCGGUGAACCUUCUGGACUAGGUAAGUCUUCAUGGCUUAUCUGGGAAGUUAAGUAAACCAUUAUCACUUAGAGGAAGGAGAAGUCGU
rnacentral:rRNA from 1 species